UAAGAGGCUUUUAUAAAAGCCAAUUUUAAAUAUUUUGAAUAAUUAU
rfam:Physcomitrella patens subsp. patens PHYPAscaffold_73 genomic scaffold, whole genome shotgun sequence.